CCCAGCUGGUCUGUAACUCAUUAUGUAGGGCAGGUUAGCCUCAAAGUUACAAUUCUCCUGUCUCGGCUCCUAAGUGCUGCUAUUACAGACAUGUGCCUAUUCUGUACUUUUACACGAUUCCAGUUUUCAUAACUGAGAAAAACUGGUAGUGUUUUCCCAUGCCUGGCUUGUGUCUCUUGAAUAAAAUCUGAGGACACUCUUUUUCAAUUUGUUCUUUUGCGGAACCCAGUUUCACAGGACCUGCAGGGGACAUCCUAUGCCUAGGAAAAGGAAGACACAGGGCUGGCUUAAGAUCUCAGCUUUGAGGCCUGCACAGGGAGUCAAGGGACUAAGCUUAAAUGAGGUGUGAGGCUCCUGGCCCGUGGAGCAUUGGGCUCUGGCUGUCGGAGGAUGUAAUAUUCCAGAAAGGACUGAAAUGAACAGGAAAGCAAGUGACUCAGCUUCUGAAAGUCCCCGACCCUGGGGAGGGGUCCAUUUCACUCCCCAUGCUUCUCCAAAUCUGAUCAUGCCCAGAGGGUCUUGGAUCAGACCCAGGGGCAGAGCUUGGCUCUGAAGGUCCUGAGUGGGUGGAACAUUGCUGGAGUUCCAGGAGCGCUGGGACACGAGGAAGGGGGAAACCUUGAGCAAUAGCACAGCCCCCCUUCCCUGUCUCCAUCCCUCUGGAACCUGAAGUCCUGUCAUGGCCAGAGUUUGUUUCCUAAUUUCUUCUUCCUUCUGAAUUUGUUAUCUAAGCUACUCAGACCCCCUGAGGUGCUUGGGAUUGGUAUGAGCUUGGUUGGGAUAAAUUCAGAAAACGGAGCCCCUGGGAACAAAGCAGAAAGGACCGGUGCAGCUAGCAAGGUGUUGUUCUGAGAGAGGCAGGGGAAGCCAUGAUGGAGGGAGCUUUGAAAAUGAGUGAGUGGAGCUCCGGAAAGACAGACGGUCUAGGGAGGUUGAGCAGCAAGCACAAAGACUCAGAGACACAAAGGAAUUGUAGUUCUCCCAACAUGGGUAUCCCAUGGCAACCAGGUUGGAGGCCAGGAUGGCUCAUGUUUUCUUCCCACUGGAGCCAAAGCAAAGAGUCCAAGGUCCUAGGCACAGAAAUGGUCUUCCCACCCCAACUAGACAUCAAUCACAGCCCUCUGGCCCUCAGUUCAAGUACUACUGAACAGGCCCACGUGGGCUUCAGCCCUGGCUCGCUGCUUCCGGCUUUUGUGGAUUUGAGAGGUCGCGCCCCUUCACCAUCCCAUAAUUUCCUUAUAAGUAAAAUGGCAGGAAUGAUACCUACCUCAUGGGUUAUUUGAGGACGCAAUGAUAUAACGCAGAUGAAGGCCUGGACUUGGAGACUGUUAUAUGCUCACCGCGUGAAAGUAGUGGUUAGACCUUCAGAUC
rnacentral:sRNA from 1 species